rnacentral:rRNA from 1 species
GAUGAACGCUGGCGGCGUGCCUAAUACAUGCAAGUCGAGCGAACAGAUAAGGAGCUUGCUCCUUUGACGUUAGCGGCGGACGGGUGAGUAACACGUGGAUAACCUACCUAUAAGACUGGGAUAACUUCGGGAAACCGGAGCUAAUACCGGAUAACAUAUUGAACCGCAUGGUUCAAUAGUGAAAGGCGGCUUUGCUGUCACUUAUAGAUGGAUCCGCGCCGUAUUAGCUAGUUGGUAAGGUAACGGCUUACCAAGGCAACGAUACGUAGCCGACCUGAGAGGGUGAUCGGCCACCCUGGAGCUUGGCCACGGUCCUGGCUCCUGCGGGACGCAGCAGUAGCGAAUCUUCCGCAGUGGUCGAAAGCCUUACGCAGCGGCCCCGCGUGUGUGAUGAAGGUGUUGGGAGCGUAAUGCUCUGUUAUCAGUGGUGAACAAAUGUGUAAGUAGCUGUGCACAUCUUGACGGUACCUGAUCAGAAAGCCACGGCUAACUACGUG